UACGAGGGGGGCGAGCGUUGUUCGGAAUUAUUGGGCGUAAAGAGCUCGUAGGCGGUUUGUCGCGUCUGCUGUGAAAACCUAAGGCUCAACCUUGGGCUUGCAGUGGGUACGGGCAGACUAGAGUGCGGUAGGGGUGACUGGAAUUCCUGGUGUAGCGGUGAAAUGCGCAGAUAUCAGGAGGAACACCAAUGGCGAAGGCAGCUCGCUGGGACGGUACUGACGCUGAGGCGCGAAAGCGUGGGGAGCGAACAGG
rnacentral:rRNA from 1 species